AAACAUUCAGAUGUGCAAUGUGGA
rnacentral:siRNA from 1 species